GAACAGGGCGCGGAGUUUCGCGCUCUGUUUAACGAUACAGUAUCUUUACAUAAGAUAAAAUAUUGCUAU
rnacentral:sRNA from 1 species